rnacentral:rRNA from 1 species
UACAGAGGUCCCAAGCGUUGUUCGGAUUUACUGGGCGUAAAGGGUGCGUAGGUGGCGGGGUAAGUCUGGUGUGAAAGCUCCGAGCUCAACUCGGAAAAGCAUUGGAAACUAUCCCGCUGGAGGGUCGGAGGGGAGACUGGAAUUCUCGGUGUAGCAGUGAAAUGCGUAGAUAUCGAGAGGAACACCAGUGGCGAAGGCGGGUCUCUGGACAGUUCCUGACGCUGAGGCACGAAGGUCAGGGGAGCAAACGGG